CCCGCUGAGUUAAGAAUAUAAAUAAGCGGAGGAGAAGAAACUUACAAGGAUUCCCUAAGUAACGGCGGUCGAACCGGGA
rnacentral:rRNA from 16 species